AAUAAGUACAGUUUUGCACUGUUCAUAUUCAACAUUUGACCGUCCGUCUUAUUUUAAAAAAAAUUUUAUGAUUAGUAUUUUUGUUGUUAUUAGAUGAUAAAACAUAAAUAGUACUUUAUGUGUGACUUUUUUUAUUUUUUCAUUAAUUUUUCAAAUAAGACGGAUGGUCAAACAUUGGACACGGAUAUCCACGACUACGCUUAUU
rfam:Oryza punctata chromosome 3, whole genome shotgun sequence.